rnacentral:snRNA from 1 species
GUGUUUGUUUCAGCAACACACAUUCUAAAACUGGAACAAUACAGAGAAGACUAGCAUGGCUUUUUUGAUGAGCAAGUUUGUGAAAUGUUUCAUAUUUUA